GACGAACGCUGGCGGCGUGCUUAACACAUGCAAGUCGAACGGGCCCGCCCCUGUUUUUGGGGGUGGGUUGAGUGGCGAACGGGUGAGUAUCACGUGAGUAACCUGCCCCCUGCUCCUGGAUAACUGCUUGAAAGGGCGGCUAAUACGGGGUGUGCCGGCUGGUCCGCAUGAGCCUGGUCGGGAUAGUUUCAUCUUCGGGUGUUUCGGUUGGGGAUGGGCUCGCGGCCUAUCAGCUUGUUGGUGGGGUGAUGGCCCACCAAGGCGGUGACGGGUAGCCGGCCUGAGAGGGUGGGCGGCCAAACUGGGAAUGAGACACGGCCCAGAAGCCUGCGGGAGGCAGCAGUGGGGGGUAUUGCACAAUGGGUGGAAGCCUGAUGCAGCGACGUCGCGUGAGGGAUGGAGGCCUUCGGGUUGUGAACCUCUUUCUCCGGGGGUGAAGGCCCUGUCCGUUGCGGCGGGGUUGACGGUAGCCGGGUAUGAAGCGCCGGCUAGCUACGUG
rnacentral:rRNA from 1 species